rnacentral:piRNA from 1 species
UGAUGAACAAGUUUGACUCUCCAUGAGUUGU